ensembl:snRNA U6 U6 spliceosomal RNA
AUGCUGACUUCAGCAGCACAUACACUAAAAUUGGAAUGGUACGGAGAAGAUGAGCAUGGCCCUUCCACAAGGAUAACACAGAUUCGUGAAGUGUUCCAUACUGUU